UGGCAGAUAGUUCAGGCGGUAGAACACCAUGUAUCAUGGAAGUCACGGGUUCAAGUCCCGUUCUGUCAG
rnacentral:tRNA from 1 species